rnacentral:rRNA from 1 species
AUUGAACGCUGGCGGCAGGCCUAACACAUGCAAGUCGAGCGGAUGAAGGGAGCUUGCUCCUGGAUUCAGCGGCGGACGGGUGAGUAAUGCCUAGGAAUCUGCCUGGUAGUGGGGAUAACGUCCGGAAACGGGCGCUAAUACCGCAUACGUCCUGAGGGAGAAAGUGGGGGAUCUUCGGACCUCACGCUAUCAGAUGAGCCUAGGUCGGAUUAGCUAGUUGGUGGGGUAAAGGCCUACCAAGGCGACGAUCCGUAACUGGUCUGAGAGGAUGAUCAGUCACACUCGAACUGAGACACGGUCCAGACUCCUACGGGAGGCAGCAGUGGGGAAUAUUGGACAAUGGGCGAAAGCCUGAUCCAGCCAUGCCGCGUGUGUGAAGAAGGUCUUCGGAUUGUAAAGCACUUUAAGUUGGGAGGAAGGGCAGUAAGUUAAUACCUUGCUGUUUUGACGUUACCAACAGAAUAAGCACCGGCUAACUUCGUG